rnacentral:rRNA from 1 species
GUCACGAUGAGGGCCGUGCAUAGGCGAUCUGGUCCAGGAAACGUCACGCCCGGUGGCUACUAACCCGCCUGGUGGAUGGCUCGGCUCGGGGCGCCGACGAAGGGCGUGGCAAGCUGCGAUAAGCCCCGGCGAGGCGCAGGCACCCGUCGAACCGGGGAUUCCCGAAUGGGACCUCCCGCGGCUUUUGCCGCACUCCCAGUCGGGAGGGGGAACGCGGGGAAUUGAAAUAUCUUAGUACCCGCAGGAAAAGAAAGCAAAAUAG